UACGUAGGGUGCAAGGCGUUGUCCGGAAUUAUUGGGCGUAAAGAGCUCGUAGGCGGUCUGUCACGUCGGCUGUGAAAACCCGAGGCUCAACCUCGGGCCUGCAGUCGAUAACGGGCAGACUAGAGUUCGGUAGGGGAGACUGGAAUUGACCUGGUGUCAGCGGUGAAAGCGGCAGAAUAUCAGGAGGAACACCGGUGGGCGAAGGGCGG
rnacentral:rRNA from 1 species